rnacentral:rRNA from 1 species
UUUCCGUAGGUGAACCUGCGGAAGGAUCAUUAUCGAAUAAACUUGCACAGGCUGUUGCUGGCCCUUGAGGGGGUAUGUGCACGCUUGUCAUCUUUAUCAUUUCUCCCAACUGUGCACAUAUUGUAGACCUGUUGUAUCUUUUUGAAUUCUGAUAAGGAAUUCAAAGUUGGGGGACUGCUGUGCUUUAUCUACCAAAAGUCGGCUUUCCCUUGUAUUUUUCAGGUCUAUGUCAUUUUUUUUUCACAACCUCUAUAACAUGUUUAGAAUGUUGAAUCAGGUCCUUGUAACCUAUAUUAAAAGUUAUAAACAACUUUCAGCAACGGAUCUCUUGGCUCUCGCAUCGAUGAAGAACGCAGCGAAAUGCGAUAAGUAAUGGGAAUUGCAGAAUUCAGUGAAUCAUCGAAUCUUUGAACGCAUCUUGCGCCCCUUGGUAUUCCGAGGAGCAUGCCUGUUUGAGUGUCAUUUGACCUUCUCUCAACCAUAUCAGUCAAUGAUGUGGCUUGGAUGUGGGAUUGCAGGCUUCGAGUAUGAAGUCCAGCUCUCCUGAAAUGCAUUAGUGGUAUCUGUCUGAGCUGCUAUUUGGUGUGAUAACUUAUCUAUGCCUUUUGGUGAUCAGCACCGCUUAUAACCUACCAAAAUUGACAAAUUUGACCUCAAAUCAGGUAGGACUACCC